GUGGAAGUGCAGUGAUGUAUGAAGCUGAGUAGUACUAAUUACCCGAAAGCUUCCUU
rnacentral:rRNA from 1 species